rnacentral:rRNA from 1 species
UACGUAGGGUGCGAGCGUUAAUCGGAAUUACUGGGCGUAAAGCGUGCGCAGGCGGUUAUGCAAGACAGAUGUGAAAUCCCCGGGCUCAACCUGGGAACUGCAUUUGUGACUGCAUGGCUAGAGUACGGUAGAGGGGGAUGGAAUUCCGCGUGUAGCAGUGAAAUGCGUAGAUAUGCGGAGGAGCACCGAUGGCGAAGGCAAUCCCCUGGACCUGUACUGACGCUCAUGCACGAAAGCGUGGGGAGCAAACAGG